rnacentral:rRNA from 1 species
GACGAACGCUGGCGGCGUGCUUAACACAUGCAAGUCGAACGGAAAGGCCCUGCUUUUGUGGGGUGCUCGAGUGGCGAACGGGUGGGUAACACGUGAGUAACCUGCCCUUGACUUUGGGAUAACUUCAGGAAACUGGGGCUAAUACCGGAUAGGAGCUCCUGCUGCAUGGUGGGGGUUGGAAAGUUUCGGCGGUUGGGGAUGGGCUCGCGGCUUAUCAGCUUGUUGGUGGGGUAGUGGCUUACCAAGGCUUUGACGGGUAGCCGGCCUGAGAGGGUGACCGGCCACAUUGGGACUGAGAUACGGCCCAGACUCCUACGGGAGGCAGCAGUGGGGAAUAUUGCACAGUGGGCGGAAGCCUGAUGCAGCAACGCCGCGUGCGGGAUGACGGCCUUCGGGUUGUAAACCGCUUUCGCCUGUGACGAAGCGUGAGUGACGGUAAUGGGUAAAGAAGCACCGGCUAACUACGUG